rfam:Pedobacter ginsenosidimutans strain KACC 14530 contig13, whole genome shotgun sequence.
GUUUGGUAUGCACAAUGGAUGUGUGCUGGUCUGCAAAACCAGUGUAGUCAGUUCGAUUCUGACACCAAACU